rnacentral:rRNA from 1 species
GAUGAACGCUUGCGGCAGGCCUAAUACAUGCAAGUCGAGGGGUAGUGGUUGCUUGCAACCAUGAGACCGGCGCACGGGUGCGUAACGCGUAUGCAACCUACCUUCAUCUGGGGGAUAGCCCGAAGAAAUUCGGAUUAACACCGCAUAAAAUCACAGUACCGCAUGGUACAAUGAUCAAACAUUCAUGGGAUGGAGAUGGG